UACGGAGGGAGCUAGCGUUGUUCGGAAUUACUGGGCGUAAAGCGCACGUAGGCGGCUUUGUAAGUUAGAGGUGAAAGCCCGGAGCUCAACUCCGGAACUGCCUUUAAGACUGCAUCGCUUGAAUCCAGGAGAGGUGAGUGGAAUUCCGAGUGUAGAGGUGAAAUUCGUAGAUAUCUGGAGGAACACCGGUGGCGAAGGCGCCCACCUGGCCUGCUACUGACGCUGAAGCUCGAAAGCUAGGGGAGCAAACGGG
rnacentral:rRNA from 1 species